AGAGUUUGAUCAUGGCUCAGGACGAACGCUGGCGGCGUGCUUAACACAUGCAAGUCGAGCGGUAAGGCACUUCGGUGUACACGAGCGGCGAACGGGUGAGUAACACGUGAGUAAUCUGCCCUUCACUCUGGGAUAAGCACUCGAAAGGGUGUCUAAUACCGGAUACGACGCACCUGGGCAUCCAGUGUGUGUGGAAACUUUUGUGGGUGGGGGAUGUGCUCGCGGCCUAUCAGCUUGUUGGUGGGGUAAUGGCCUACCAAGGCUUCGACGGGUAGCCGGCCUGAGAGGGUGACCGGCCACACUGGGACUGAGACACGGCCCAGACUCCUACGGGAGGCAGCAGUGGGGAAUAUUGGACAAUGGGCGGAAGCCUGAUCCAGCAACGCCGCGUGAGGGAUGACGGCCUUCGGGUUGUAAACCUCUUUCAGUACCGACGAAGCGCCUUUGUGGGUGGUGACGGUAGGUACAGAAGAAGCACCGGCCAACUACGUGCCAGCAGCCGCGGUAAUACGUAGGGUGCGAGCGUUGUCCGGAAUUAUUGGGCGUAAAGGGCUCGUAGGCGGUUUGUCGCGUCGGGAGUGAAAACACUGGGCUUAACCGAGUGCUUGCUUUCGAUACGGGCAGACUAGAGGUAUGCAGGGGAGAACGGAAUUCCUGGUGUAGCGGUGAAAUGCGCAGAUAUCAGGAGGAACACCGGUGGCGAAGGCGGUUCUCUGGGCAUUACCUGACGCUGAGGAGCGAAAGUGUGGGGAGCGAACAGGAUUAGAUACCCUGGUAGU
rnacentral:rRNA from 1 species